CAUGACUCUCGGCAACGGAUAUCUCGGCUCUCGCCACGAUGAAGAACGUAGCGAAAUGCGAUACUUAGUGUGAAUUGCAGAAUCCCGUGAAUCAUCGAGUCUUUGAACGCAAGUUGCGCCCCGGGCCUCGGCCAAGGGCACGUCCGCUUGGGCGUCGCAUUCAAUUAAAUCGCCCUCGUCCGUGCUCGGGCGUUGGAGCGGAGUUGGCCGUCUGCGCCUCUUGUGGCCCCGUCGGCUAAAAUAGUUUUCGGAUCCCCGUCGUCUCGCAUCGGUGAGCGGUUGUUCGGCUCCCUCUGGGCCGCAGGCCAGCGCGCGCCAGUGCGAGAGGCAGGCGGCGUUCCCUUCGCAGCCCCUCUGCCCGUCGUGCCGCGGCCCUCCGUGGUCGUGCUGCGGGCCCGUUUCGUGCGACCCC
rnacentral:rRNA from 1 species